rnacentral:rRNA from 1 species
CAACUCCCGCGGACGGUCCUCCUCUAUUAUGCCAACUUCGUCUCCUCUCCGGAGGGCUACUUCCAAACUGUGGUCUGCAACGCCAAUGAGUUUGGCAACACCACUGUAAACCACGACAUGCACUACAUCUCCUGGGACAACCCCCCAGGUCAGCACCCACAGCUCCUCAACGCCAGCCACUGGGACAAGAUGGUUGGCAACAAGGCCCCCUUUGCGCGGAAGUUCGGCCAGGACGACAUGGUGCUUGACAGGAUAGAUGCAGACCUCCUGUUACGGCCACCAGGCAUGGUCACCCCUGGAGGCUGGUGCAGGGGGGAUGUUAGCAGAAGUAGCGAUGGUCCUUGUUGCUCCGUGGGGAGCCCGACGCGUCUGCUUCCCGGCCCUGGAGCUGCACGGCUACAACGGCUGGUUACGUCGCUCAUGUUGGAGAAGAACUUCCGGUCGAAACAGUGCAAAAUAGUUGAGCACAUUUAUUGA